CGAGUUCUGCCGAUGAAAGAUGGGGACCCGGAGAGCCGAGUGAAUCCGGAAAGAAACGAACAGUUCCGGAGAGAUCGAGGUGUUCGGAAAUAAACGAGGGAGAGGGUCCGGAAGGGAUCGAGGAGUUUCGGAAGGAACCGAGCGGUACCGGAAAGAGCCGAGUAUGGGAGCAGGGUGCGGAGGGCGUUUGUGCCCUGCAGGAACCGGCCUGGGGCACCACAAAAUUACAUGAUUAGAGGGGCAAUCGGUUAAAAUGUGCGCGCAGGGGUCGGCAGAGGGGUCUCUGCCCCCUUCUCCCGACUCAGGAAAUCCAAAAGCAGCAUAGCUGUCACAUCUGCCAGAGGCUCCAAAUUCAACAUCUGCGCAAGCCAGCGCCAUCCAUAGCUCAGACCGUGAGGAUGUGCCUACAAAGCAACAAAGAAGUUACUCAGCACUUACUUUAUGACUUGUAAAAUACAAUUAUCAAAACAGA